GACGAACGCUGGCGGCGUGCUUAACACAUGCAAGUCGAACGGAAAGGCCCUGCUUUUGUGGGUUGCUCGUGUGGCGAACGGGUGAGUAACACGUGAGUAACCUGCCCUUGACUUUGGGAUAACUUCAGGAAACUGGGGCUCAUAUCGGAUAGGAGCUCCUGCUGCAUGGUGGGGGUUGGAAAGUUUCGGCGGUUGGGGAUGGACUCGAGGCUUAUCGGCUUGUUGGGGGGGUAGUGGUUUACCAAGGCUUUGACGGGUAGCCGGCCUGAGAGGUUGGCCGGCCACAUUAGGCCUGCGGGAGGGACCAGUCUCCUACGGGAGGCAACAGUGGGGAAUAUUGCGGAGUGGGCGGAAGUCUGAUGCAGCGACGCCCGGAGCGUGAUGACCGGUUUCGAGUUGUAAACCGAUUUCGCCGGUGAUGAAGCGUGAGUGACGGAAAUGAGUAAAGAAGCACCGGCUAACUACGUG
rnacentral:rRNA from 1 species